UCCGUAGGGGGCAAGCGUUGUCCGGAUUUAUUGGGCGUAAAGAGCGUGUAGGCGGCCAGGUAGGUCCGUUGUGAAAACUCGAGGCUCAACCUCGAGACGUCGAUGGAAACCAUCUGGCUAGAGUCCGGAAGAGGAGAGUGGAAUUCCUGGUGUAGCGGUGGAAUGCGCAGAUAUCAGGAGGAACACCGAUAGCGAAGGCAGCUCGCUGGGACGGUACUGACGCUAAGGCGCGAAAGCGUGGGGAGCGAACAGG
rnacentral:rRNA from 1 species